rnacentral:rRNA from 1 species
GACGAACGUUGGCGGCGUGCUUAAUACAUGCAAGUCAACUGAAGCACCGGUAGUAAUACUGGUGUGGAGGUGGCGCACGGGUGAGUAACACGUAGGUAAUCUGCCUUCAGGUCUGACAUAACCCCGAGAAAUCGGGGCUAAUAGCAGAUGAUGCAGCGGCUUGACAUCAAGACAGUUGUUAAAGCUUCGGCGCCUGAAGAUGAGCCUGCGUCUGAUUAGCUAGUUGGCGGAGUAAUGGCCCACAAGGCUACGAUCAGUAACUGGUCUGAGAGGAUGAUCAGUCACACUGGAACU